UUAAAAAACCUUAAACAAAUAUAAAAAACAAAUGCAGUCAGAUUUGGAAGCUUGCCCACCAAUCAGAUAACCUCCGAACAGCCCUUUCCUGUCAGCUGCUGUUGGCUGAGCUACUGGCUUACCUUGCUUUUUCUUCUGUCCCACAGAACCUUCUGGGCUGCUUCUGGGAAACAGGUGAUGGUGACAACAAAACCAAGCCAUAAUGUUCACGAUCAGCUCCACCCCAGUUCAAUUUUAUGUCUUGAACGCCCUGGCAAUGAGAACAAAUACAUAAAGCCAGCUGGAAGCACAGCGUCUCUGGAAGAAGCCAAGGGCCUGCACGGCCUGGCCUCUCAUAUUCUGUGGGUCUCAUUUAGCCUGCUAAGACUAUGCAAGAGCACACUCAUGCCUACUGUCCCAACCCGAAACUAUACCUACUGAAUGAAGUCCUGAGCUUAAGUCCUUCCUAUUGUGUAUUCAUUUUAUAUUUUUUAUUGUCCUAUUUUAGUUUUAUCUGUUACAACCCAACAGUACUGAGCAUACCUUCUUUCCUUAGCUUUUAUAUUUUGUUCAUUUAACUUGUUUUAACCUUCUCUCUGAAAAACUUUUAUUCUUGAUUUAUUUUCCCUUUAGAUAUAUACAGUAUUACUGGCUAUUUCUGUUUUUGUCAACUUAUGUAAUUUCUGGUAUUAAUCACUUUAAUCAUUGUCAGUUCAUAUUGUUCUUUGGUAUAGGGCAUCCUUUCCCUUUCCUUGGUAUUUCCAGUUUCUAUUUUACAAACAGCAGGGCAGUUGAGCACAGAGUUGCUGGCUCUGAGGACAGGGCCCAGCCCACAUCUGACUGUCUGGAUGUUUGUUUUUCCUGCUGCUAUCUCCCUCCAUAAAGAAUCCUUGGUUCCCUUUAAUGUUGAAGCUCUCAGGACUUCCAGGGAUUCAGAUGUCCAGAUUCUUUCCUGGGAUGACAAGAUGAUGAUAAAUAGUAUCACUCCUGCUGAAGCCUGGGACUGUUUAUUUGUGCACCUGAUAUAAUAGCAGAAGUUCAAUCAGCUCUGUACCAGUUGCUCAAGGUUUUCAAAUUUCUUUGGCUCUAACACUCUUCAAAUAAUUCACAGGGAUAUUUGAUCAUUAAAAGAUGAAAAGGUGUAGCAGCUACUCACUGCUAGCAUAGCCUGGUCUAGUCACCAGGAAAGAGUUCAGCCAAUGCAAAUGUCCUGCCAUGGGCUCUUCUCUACAUGAGGUACUGCCUGGGGAUGAGAAAUCCAAAUGGCAGGGGAGCAAGAAGCAUGAGUUGUCUAGGAUGAAGAAAUGACCACAUUUCCUCACUCUAAAUCAGUGAUUUAAGUUCACUCUGGGAUGUCUAAAUUCAUUCCAUUCAGGGGUGUUAGGUAUCACAGCUACUGGAGAAUGUGAACUAAAGGACUAAAGGAAAUAUCAGAAACCAUGAAAGUUAACAACCACUAAAGAUAUACCUAACCGUCGGGGUGGAGGUGUUACAGAGCAGUUCCUGGUAUAUUCAGG
rnacentral:lncRNA from 1 species